rnacentral:rRNA from 1 species
UUGACGGGACCCGCACAAGCGGUGGAUGAUGUGGUUUAAUUCGAUGCAACGCGAAAACCUUACCCACCUUUGACAUGUACGGAAUCCUUUAGAGAUAGAGGAGUGCUCGAAAGAGAGCCGUAACACAGGUGCUGCAUGGCUGUCGUCAGCUCGUGUCGUGAGAUGUUGGGUUAAGUCCCGCAACGAGCGCAACCCUUGUCAUUAGUUGCUACGAAAGGGCACUCUAAUGAGACUGCCGGUGACAAACCGGAGGAAGGUGGGGAUGACGUCAAGUCCUCAUGGCCCUUAUAGGUGGGGCUACACACGUCAUACGAUGGCUGGUACAAAGGGUUGCCAACCCGCGAGGGGGAGCCAAUCCCAUAAAGCCAGUCGUAGUCCGGAUCGCAGUCUGCAACUCGACUGCGUGAAGUCGGAAUCGCUAGUAAUCGUGGAUCAGAAUGUCCACGGUCCGAAUACGUUCCGGGCCUU